AGGACCUCCCUUCCCCCCUAUAGAAACACUUUCUCCAGGCCCGGCCGGGCCUGGUAAACCGCAGCAGUGCCAGGGUAGAGGACGCCGGGUUGGGCCGCGCGGGGGUGGAAUGAGGGCGUCUAGAACAGAGAAAACUAGUAGAGUCUGUCACCCAGGAUGGAGUGCAGUGGCACAGUCUUGGCUCCCUGCAAGCUCUGCCUCCCAAGUUCAAAUGAUUCUCCUGCCUCAGCCUACCAAGUAGCUGAGAUUACAGGUUGGAUGGACUCUGAGUGCAAUCUUGAUGUCUUUCCUGCUCAGUAAGAGGAAGAAAGGCGCUGCUGGCUAAUGUUUGGACUGCUUGCGGGAUAGGAACAGCUGUUUACUGCUACAUGUACAUAAUUCUGUACGGAAGUCAUGUUCCUGGAUUCUGACUGCAUCAUCAGUAUGUGCUUUGAAACCUACCUAGCACAAAUACGAUGAAUCUGCUUAUACCCUUGAACCUCUUUUUCAUCACUUUUCAUCAUUCAAAAAUUUUUAAUGAGUUUAUAUGCUAAGUGCUGAACAUAAAGUAUUAGACAACUUGUACAGAGUUCAUGUGGGGUAUGAUAAAUGAGACUGGAAAGACAGUCUCGCUCUGUUACUCAGGCUGGAGUACAGUGGCAUGAUCUCGGCUCAGUGCAACCUCAAGUGAUCUGGACUCAAGUGAUCCUCCACCUCAGCCUCCCAAGUUGCUGGGACUACAGGUACACGCUACCACUCCCAGAUAAUUUUUUGGUAUUUUUUUCAGAUUCGGGGUUUUGCCAUGUUUGCCCGGGCUGGUCUCGAACUGCUGAGCUCAAAUGAUCCACCUGCCUUAGCCUCCCAGUGUUGGGAUUACAGGUGUGAGUCACUGCACUUGGCAAUUUCUUAAUUAGCCAUGUUGGACA